UACGAAGGGUGCAAGCGUUGUUCGGAAUUACUGGGCGUAAAGGGUUUGUAGGCUGAAAGAUAAGUCAAUUGUGAAAUCCCCGAGCUAAACUCGGGACGUGCAAUUGAAACUGUUUUUCUUGAGUAUCGUAGAGGGUGGUGGAAUUGCAGGUGUAGGAGUGACAUCCGUAGAGAUCUGCAGGAACAUCAGAGGCGAAGGCGACCACCUGGCCGAUUACUGACGCUGAGGAACGAAAGCGUGGGGAGCAAACAGG
rnacentral:rRNA from 1 species